CUGCCCAACAAAGUUUGAUAGGUAUAUUAAUUCCUAUGAACUGUAGUUUAAUUGUGUGAACCAUGCCAACUUUUGCAGAUGCAGACUCAGGUUGAGGCAUACAUGAUAGGAUGUAAGAGUUGCUGGAGUGGUAGAUCGAAGCAUACAUUUCAUGUGCAAAAAAAUGUUUGAUUCAUGGUGCAAGUUGCUGUUGCUUUGUGGAUUUUGCUCUUUCUUCUACUAUGAAAGUAUGGAUUUUAUCCUAUAGUUUAAUUAAUAUCCGAGAGAGUGUAAGCUGCAGAUAAAUGUUUAAUCUCAAGAGAGAUUCAGAGUAUUUUUAUCUGAACAAGUCUAUUUUGUUGCAGUAUAUGGACAGUAUUUUUAUCUCAGAAAGUAUAUUUUUUCUGAAGA
rnacentral:lncRNA from 1 species